UAAGAGUGGGUAUCAAAGAACAACCCAAACAAGUAUUGAUAAUCGGUAUUAUUUUUGGCAACUACAUUUAGAUUACGAUGAAUGAAAAGUUAAUUUAAUUUUCUCGAAUUUUUAUUUAUUUAUUUUUAAAGCUGGGUAAUUAUUUAAAAAAAAAAUUGUCAUUGAACGACACAGCCGGCGAUUGGGCUGCCAUGGCCAAAACUCCAGCGUAACCCUAAAGCUUUCUCAGUCUUCGCUCUUUCUCUCUAUUUCCCUGUACUCCUGCCCUUUCCCUCUCUAAAGCUAUGUCACCUGCGGCUACGAAUCCCAAAGCCGGAUGGGAAGUUCCGUUUAAGUAUGUUGUGGAGCUUGCAAGAGGCUCGGUGCCUGGAGUGCAUCAUGUCUAUCUGCUAGCCAGACAAGUAUUGUCACUGGAUGUAGAUUGGAGUUAUGUUGAAUCCACAGAGAUGCUGGCUUCUGAAAAUUCAGUGGAUCCAUGCAUGAUAUGAAGAGAGUAGGGGUUCAUAUGUCAUCUGUAAACAAUUUGGUCUAAAAGAUAAAUAUAUCCAGAAAGAACAUCACCACAUUGGUUAAAGCAUUUCGGGAAUGUUGGCAAUUAAGAGAACCUGCUGACCUUGUAUGAUUCUCCCAAUAACAUUUGAUUGGUGAGCACAUUUUGCUGAUUGUGCUAACCAGCUGAAUUAGCUUUGCUAGUAAGGUAGUUUUAUAUGUGCUCCUUUUGUCCGUAUUUUGCAGAUGGUGCUUAGGGGUAGCCUCAAAGUAUUGAUGAAAUGUCAAGCACGAAAGCACCUGUACUUCUCUCAAUACUUAAGUUGAUUAACAAAUAUCAUCUUUAUAGUCAAGUGGUAUAUUCUAAGCAAUGCAAACAGUCUGAUGUUUGCACUGUGCAUUGUGCAUUUGGAUGCCUGCUUUUAAGCGGCCAUGUGGGUGACUUUGCUGUCUAUUGCACUUUACUGGGUUAUCUCUUCCAUAACAAUUUUCAUUUCUUUCUACUUUAUUGUUUUGAUAACUGUAAACUGAUUUAUUAAGGAAAUGACACUAUGACCCUUCUCUAGAGUUUAGUGUUAUAGUUUGUGCUUGCAUAAUAACUUCUGAUGUUUUAUUGGACAAUGGAAUGUGCAUGUGAUCUUAUUAGUACUAUUAUGUGGAAUAGACAAUAUUUACAUUUAAUAAAUGGGUUUGCUCUUAGGUAGUGUUUGUUUUUUGACUGAAUAGAAAAAGCCAAAAUAUUUGGCUUUUUCUAUUAAGCUAAAAGUACCUUGUUGAUAUUAACCAACAUAAAUAAAGUGAACUUGUUAUCAAUAAGUUUAGUUUAGUUAUGUUGGUUGAUGUCAAUGAGUUACUUUCAACUGAAUGGAAAAAGUAAGAUAUUUUGGCUUUUUCUAUUUAGCAAAAAAACAAAUACCACCUUAGUCUCUUCCUAUUUGCCCAAAAUAGUCUGUUUUACUCCAUAAUAUUACUUUUUCUGAACCAAUAACUAGAUUUCAUGGUACAACAAAUUGAUCAACUAGGCUGUUUGAGGUAUUUUUAAUUAUUUCACAUGAAAGCUAUUUCCUUUAACAAUUGUAAGGAGCAUAUUGCCAAACCUUGGGAAGAUGGCAUAUGUAUGAAAGAUAAUGAAUUUUGUGGAUUAAAAUUGGGAUGGCUUUAUUUAUGUAUUUAAUUUUUUUUUAAAUUUAAAUUUAUUUAUUUUUUCCUGUCAUUACUAUUAAAAAGAUUUGGGUUCAAUGUCAUUGAAGUGGCAAUAAAGGUUUAGGGCUAUCUUCAAUAUGGUUUUUGUAAAUAUUUUAGCCUCAACCAUCUGACACCCUCAUUAUUCUGAAUGAUCAUUUUCUGAGGACCUCAGUUAAAGUAGGCUCAAACAGGCCUAAAAAUCCUACUUUUGCAUUGAGCAGGCAGCAGCUCAUUGUUUGCCUACUCUUGCUACAAAAAAGUGUGGGUUCUGUUGAUACACAUCAUGUAUGUCUACUGAAUGGAUAUACUUAUUGGUUAGAAGGAUCUUAAUCUUAUAUUUCUGAAACUGAUUGCCAUAUUGUUUUAGGUGCUUGACUAUGUUCUUCUUCUUGAUACCCAUGAUCAACUGUUUAUUGUUAAAGCUCUUCUAAAGCUUGUUGCAGAUAAGCAGCUUCAGGUGAGAUGUUGGCAGAAUGGAUUGAAAAAUGUUUAUCUCAUCUAAUAGCCAGAAAAUUUUGCAUAUCAGAGAAAAAAAAAAAAAGAAAAAAAAAAGGAAAAGAAAAGCCAGAACAUUGCAAGAGUUAUCCAUCUUGAAUAGCCAAGCUACAAAGCAAAGCAUCCACAGUGGCAAAGAAGUUAUGUUCUGGUUGAAAAUUCAGAUUUAUAUUCACCUGGUAUACAGGAUGUAUCUUUGAACUUAAAAGUUUUUGAUGGAUGGAGAAAAAUAAGAGGCUAGUGGGAAUCAAUAUAACUUUGGUUUCUGACAAGAAUCCAAUCAUGCCAUGGAUGGGAAGAGUAAGUUAGAGGGUACCAUUUUGAAAUAAUCAAAGGAUGUUUUUAAAUGAUUCACAAAAUGCUGGGUUUAUGGACAAAGUAGAUCAGUAUAUAUGCACUUGUGAAUUCCCGGCAUUGAUAGGGAAAUUUUAUCCUUGCUGUGGAUUGUGAGAGCAUUUCAUAUUCUUGAAACUGCUGGAAAGAUAUUUGAGACUGCUGGAAAGUACAGGACUGAAGGUACCAUAGGAUUUAUAUUGUCAACAUACUUGGCCAUAUCUUAAAUACACCCUUCUGGCCUCAGGAGGGCUGAGUCCUACUUAUUUUGAUGCUUUUAUCUGCUAAUAGUAGAAGUGAUCUCUACAUUCCAUCUCUUAACACAAAGGGUCCUUUGUGCUCAGCUCUUGUUACCAUUCGCAGAUUGAAUACAGCUAGUGUGGAGAAGGGCUCAUCAACACAUAGGUUCACUGGGCAGCUUCUAUUAAUGGUUUUUCCUGAUAAGGAGCUUCAGAAGUUGAUGAGAAUAUAGUCUCUUCAUUGCCACUGAAUGUGAUUCUGAUAUUGGCAUCUCCUUCCCAAGCUCACAGGUGUCUUUAUGUUUGAUGGGGUAUGGACUUGCAGUAGAUGGGAAUGCAGAGACACAGAUUAUGAAGGAUUGCUGUUUGGGUUGCAUAACAUUGUAAUUUUGGGGGUGUUUGUAGCAGUGCAAGUAAUCAACUCCAUCCAAACAGAAGCUACGCUCUUUCUGAUGUGCCAUCUGACAGCAGCAGCAUCAUUAGAACUACUAAAUGUUGUAGCAUAACCAACAUCCAUUCUUCCUUAAGAAACUAGGGUUCCUCUUUGUCACAGGAUGCUUCAAAUGACCCUCCCCAUGGGCUUAUAUAGGAGGAGGGAAGCUUCUGGAAACUCCUGGAGCCAUCUACACUAAGUCAUUGGUGGGAAGAGUGUGGAAGGUUCUAGAAAUGCCUAGAGAUGUCCACACAUCUCUACACUAUGGUGGAAGGCAUGGGAGGAGUCCAAGGCUUUCUAGAGACUUCUAGGAAUCUCUUGUAUAUUCUUGUACAUAGGGUUGUACAUAGAAUAGGGUAGGAUGUUCUAGAAUAUUCUUGAUUUGUAAGGGAACCCUCCAAGGUUCUAGAGAGUUCCCUUGGUGCCUAUAAAUAGGUGAGGGCCUCAUUUGGCCAAGGCACCACCCAAAUCACUUCCUAAUCAAGCAAGUGAGCUUCCAAGCACUUGUAAAAGCUUCUUUGAGUAAUAAAGAGCUUCCAUUCUUUAAGGAGUUGCCUACCAAGCUUCUUAAGCUUUUGAGUCGCGAGUGUCUUAGCCGAGCGAGCUAAGUAUUGGGAGUAAGGCUGACUUAGCAAGAUCAAGCGUCUUGGCUUGUCUAAGUGCCGCACGAGCUUAGUGAACGACUAAGUCCGUGACAUCUUGCUUUAGAAACCAUGCUCCUUUAUGUUGAAAGUAACGAGUUCCGACACUUGAGAGCUCUACCCUUGUCUACUUGUCAUUUUAUUUAGGCCUUCCUUUUCCUGUCGCCUUUCUACUCUCAACUUCCUGUAGAGCACUCUCUUUAUUUUGGAAUCAUCUACCUUGAUGCUUAUUUGUGGGUCUUAUCAUGGAACUUCAAAGGCAGCAUUUUAUUCCUUUGGGAAUUGUCUUCAAAAAGCAUACUUUUUUGUCACCUAGCCAAUAGGUCCCAUAGAAGCCAACCUUUCUUCUAUUCCUAUAAUGUUUCAAUAUGCCUGUGCUUUACCAUUACCCUUUUAUCAUAACUAGUCGAAGCCAGUAAUGUUUCAAAAGCACCCAUGUAGGCUGAUGCUGUGUCUGGAUUGCAGAUAAAUAUUUCUGCUGGGACUCUUGGCUAUUGAUUAAAAUUUGAGGACCAAUCUGCAUAAGAAGUGGCAGGUAAAGCAGCUCCCAGUGUGAGAAACUGCAACCAAAAAGUCCCGGACACAGGUAUGUGCAUGCAAGCGACAGCUUGAAUAACUUAUAUUCUACAGGUGAGUUAUGGUUAACUAGAUUUAGGUCUUCUUUACUUCUGUACUUUGAGCAUCGAAAAAGUGCGAAACAAUAUCUGUGCUCAGACAUGAUGGAGCUGUUAAUAUCGACUACAAUGAUUACAAGGUAUUCUUAAUUCUAUCACUAUUCCAGAAGGGCCUCCUGUGCAUAUAUUUAAGAUAUUGGUAUAUUCUUUGGCA